rnacentral:lncRNA from 1 species
UAGGAUUUAUUUAGGAUUUAAGAUUUAGUUAGUUUUUGGCCUAAAUUUUGAUUGAAGUCCAAUAGGAUUUUAACUAAGAUUAAAUUAAGAUUGAAUUGGAAUUUAUUUGAGAUAUAUUUGUAAUCAUUCUAAUAUUUUUUUAAGAUUUCUUAUUGUUUCUUUGUAACAAGAAUUCAACAAGAAUUCAACAAGAAUUCAAACCUUAAAUCCUAAAUCAAACCCUAAUCAAAUCCUAAAUCCUAAAUUAAAUCCUAAUCAAAUCCUAAAUCCUAAAUCAAAUCCUAGUAAUUCCUAUAACAGAUUUAAAUCUCAAUAACUAAUGAAUGAACUGUUGAUCUUAACUCAAAAUUUUCACACUUCUUAACAAUUAAGUUGAAAACAAGUACGAAAAAUUUGAAAAAGAUCAAAAUUACUAAAUAGACAAUAACCUCAAAAACGUGCUCAGGUAUUGAUUGGUUUCCUUCUCUGACCUUAAUGCCAAUCUCUGAGAGCCAAUAUCUCUCUUUUUCACCAUUCAAUUCAUCUCAAAAUUCUUAUAUACAUAGAAAAAUAAGUUUACUAUCCUCAUCUAUAAAUUUCACUCCAAUCCAACUAAUAAAUUGCAAGAAAUCUUAAAAACCCUCACUAAACCUAAAAUUCUACCCUCUAAGACCUUAACCUACUUAAACCUCAAUAAUCCUCAAUUCAAUCAUUAGAUCAAGCUAAAAUUUAUAAUACAUAUUAAGCACAACCAUAACUAUUAACUUACAAAAUUUUACCUAUAGAUAUAUUACAAAACUCUUGAAAUUGCCGAAAAUAUCAAUCCUGUUUUAUUUCAAAAAAUUCAAGUCAUCUGAAAACAAACUUAAUUUUAUAAAGCUCUUACAAAGUCAUUAUAAAUCCAAAUCAUAUAAAAAUAA